AAAAAAGCUGCUGAUACAAGCCUCUUAAGUGAAACGGAGUGCUGAAAUGGUGACCAUAUGCUACCUUGAGGGCUCAAGAAUGUUUUGAUGCAUAGAGACACUAAUCUAUGUUAGAACUUUUAUGUUUUGGUUGAACUUUUAUGUUAGAACUUUUAUGUUUUGGUUGAACUAAUCAAUGUACUCACUAGCUAAUGUUAUUUUGUUUCAUGACAAUUUUAGCUAAAAGGAUCUUGUUUGACUUAUGUA